GUUCUAUAGAUUUUAAUUUUAGGUCUAACCUGCUCUAUGAUUUAUUUUAAAUUAAAUGGCUGCGGUAUUUUAACUGUACUAAGGUAGCAUAAUCAUUUGUCUUUUAAUUGGAGGCUAGAAUGAAUGGUUGGAUGAAAUACUAACUUUUUUGUAUUAAUAUUUUGAAUUUUAUUUUUUAGUUAAAAAGCUUAAAUUUUUUUAUGGGACGAGAAGACCCUAUAGAAUUUAAUUAUUGUUAAUUAAUUGUGUUUAUUUAUUUUAUAUAAUCAGUUAUUUUUAUAUAAUUUUGUUGGGGUGAUAGAAAAAUUUAUUUAACUUUUUUUUUGUUUUUCAUAAAUUAUUGUUUUUUUGAUCCUAAAUUUUGGAUUAUAAGAUUAAAUUACCUUAGGGAUAACAGCGUUAUUUUUUUGGAGAGUUCUUAUUGAUAAAAAAGUUUGCGA
rnacentral:rRNA from 1 species